rnacentral:lncRNA from 1 species
CCAAUCCGGCUGCGACGAAUCUCGUCUGGGCAGCCCGGCCACCUUUUGCACAUAAGGAUGGGCUACGUGUGUUGAACAUUAGUGGCGAAGCGCCCGAUUCACUCUGCUUGGGGGCCUGGAGUUCCAUCUGCCUUCCAGUCCUCUCAGUGAAGCGGGCGCACAUCAGUUGGUUUUUCUUUACCCCCCCUCGCCUCCCCUUUUGUUUUCCUGCGAUGGCUUCUGUUUUCGUGUUCAAACAGAAGGUCGUCGUCUCUUGGAUCUGCUUGAGUUUUGUCAUGGUUUAUGUGGCCUGCGCAAUGCAAAGGGUCUGGAACUAAAAGGUUUUCUGUGGCGAAAUUGAUGCCCGUGCCAAGUACAUGAACAGAGUUGGAAUGCAAUGAACUCCAAUGGCAACACGCGCCUUUUAGCGGAAGUAAAAGCCGCCACAGUGAAUGCGAACCCUAAAAGCUGCGCGCUUGAAAACGUUCCAGUUUCGUUCUUCUAAGAAAAAGAAAACACACUCUAUCGUUUUGGAUUAAAGCUGGUGUUUGUACUGCUGUACAUAAAAGCGGUUCUUUUUAAAAUCAACAAAACUGUACUAUGUCUGAAGCUGACAUCCUGACAAGACUGGGACAUAAACGGCUCGUAGUCUUACGGCUUCUUUGGCUAAUCUCUUCUCCGGAGGGAUUGGUGGAUUUAAAAUCUAUCUAUCUCGAACCGAAGAAGCCCUGCAUGGAGAAACCGGACGAAAACAGUUGAUUGACAUAAUUGAAAUUAUGCAUGUUUCCAACGAACAGAACGAUCUCAAAUAUCUUGGAAGUAUAUUCGCAGAAUAUUCCGUUCUUAUGUGUCGCCACAUGCAAGUCCUCCAAGAACGUCCUCUCCAUGUAUGAAAUGAAGACAUUAUACUAGCCCAACGUAGCAAAAAAAAAAGAAGAGUAAGGUCCCUUUGGUAGGCUUAUUUUUCAGUUUCGGCUCUGACUCAUGCAAAAGUUGUAUCAAACACCUCUUUUUCAAAUGGCUUCAUCAGUGAAGUGUUUUUCCAAAAUAAACUAGAGGGCAUGAGCCAAAAAAGUGGCUCACCCGGCUUCAGCUCACGUUAUUUUUGCACAAUAGCCCUCCCACCAGUCCAAAUUAUUAUUUUUUGGUCCUGUCCUCAAUCCCUAGCCACGUACAGGAGAGAUAAACUAUACAAGGGUCUUUCUGAAAAACAACCUAUAAGCCGUUUUGCCAAAUGAUUUUUCAGAAUGACUUUGGCUCAUCUAAAGAAGUGGUUUCACCUCGUGAGCCAGAGCCAAAGCCGUUUUUGGAGAAACCAGAGUCCUACCAAAGGAGCCAUAAAUGCUCCACCCAUUUAGACCCCUUUGGAAUGCAGGAUUGUUAUACGGAAAACAGAUGAUUGAAAGACCGAGAAAAUUUCAGAAAACAAGCGUACGAAAUUUAUAGGGAUAGGAAUGCAUAAUUAUUUUUUUUACAUUAGGUUAGUGGUCAC